UAACCUAAAAAUGGUCAACUUUUUAUGCUUUUAGCAGUUACAUUAACGUAUUUAAAUGCUGCGGAUGAUGCCAAGCAAGCUUAUGAGCAAUCGAUUUUAUAUUCUAAGAAUGAUCCGUUUGUUCAUUUAAAUUAUGCUGUGUUACUAAACAAAAUAGGUGAUUAAAGAACAUCAGCAAAGCAGUUGUCUUUAUUUAUGAAAGUUGCUAGUGAUGUAGCUGACCAAGAG